rnacentral:hammerhead_ribozyme from 1 species
AUCCAGCUGAAUAGUUUCAAACAGGACGAAACGCGCGUCCUGGAU